rnacentral:lncRNA from 1 species
GUUUUUUUUAUAGAUUUAGAAUCUGAUUAUUCUAUUACAACUUCUUGUACUUCAGUCUAACCACUGAAUAACAAAGUCAUAAUGUUUAAAUCAUGUUCCCUUAAAAUUAACUCUCUUAAAGUUAAUAGCCUAUUUUCUAGAGAUAACAUUUUACUAUUUUCCUCUCAGUGAGUUCUCCAGGAAGCUGCACUGUUAAAGUUAAAAGUUCAGUUGGUACUUUCUGAGUUGCUUUGUUCUGUUUUGUUUAGCUGACAUAUAUUUUGAUAACACUUAAGUCAUCUUAAAGCUAAAAUUAUCUAGACCUGCCUUUGAAGCUUGGAUCUUUGAGGCUUCAACAGCCCAUUCACACUCAGUUACCCAUAUGUUGGAACAUAUAUAUAUAUAUAUAUAUAUAUAUAUAUAUGUAUUUUUAAAUAAUUAAAAUUUUAUUUUAAUAGCAAAAGUGCAUUCUUUUUUAAAAAUUGAUUUUAAGUUCUGUGGUACAUGUGCAGGCUUGUUACAUAGGUAAACGUGUGCCAUAGUGGUUUGCUGCACCUGUCAACCCAUCACCUAGGUAUUAGGCCCGGCAAUUUAUCCUGAUGCUCUCCCCCACCCACCCCAGCCCUUCCCCGACAGGCCCCAUUGUGUGUUGUUCCCCUCCCUGUGUCAAUGUGUUCUCAUUGGCUAGAACAUAUUUAAUAUAAUUAUUGUGAAAAUCUGAAUUACUGAGCCCCCAUUGUAGCCCUCUAUAUACUACAGUAAAGUUCAGAAAGUGAAGAGGAAGAAAGGAAGGGAACAGAAAUUCCCCAGGAAGGUUAAAAUUGAUGAGAGAAAAUGUCUUCUGGGACAGAUCCUAUGGUGAAAUGUGAAGAACAUGAGUCAGGUUACUGUUCAUCCUGAACUCGGCGCCUAAUCACUUUUUCUCUUAAUAUCUUUUAUUUAAUGAAUACUGAUUUAUUCUUCAUCUUGACUUUUGACUUUGGCCAUGCUAUCAAAUUACUUUUGCAAAAUAACUCCCACCUUAAAAACUUCUAUUAUUCUAAAAUCUGUCCUAAUAUUCACAUUAACUUGGAAUAAACCUAUCUUGAACUUCCUCUUAGAAAACAUCUUCCUCUGUAGGAAUAAAAAAGAUUCUAAUCUUUUUCUUGACCCCCUCUUUUAAAUAAUCCAAAACAACAUCAACGGCUAUACAAAAUUCUAAUGUCUAUUAAAGUCAACAUUUGAACAUAAGAGAGAAGUUAAUAUUUGUGGGAUAAACAUUAAAAGAUUUCAGUCUUGAGGCUUAGGAUUUUUUGUGUCUUGUAUUUUUUAUCAGAUUCAAGAAAUUAUACUCAAGAAAGGAGGCAGUUAUUAUGCCUCUGUUAUUCUUUCUGAAAUUAGAAUGGGAGAAAUAGAAUGAGCUUUAGAAGCAUUUGAAACUAUAUAGAGUUAUUCUGCUGUUAUGGGACUGUUUAUUUCAAAGUUUGACAGCAAAUUGAUAAGAAAACAACAAUGUCAUACAUAUUAACUGUGUGAUACAUUAAUUUGAAAAUAUUCAUUAUGACAAGUAAUGAGAGGAACGGAAUGCUCCAUUGGUUUAAGUGAUCAGAAAACUCAUUUGGAGGAAUUAUGUGCUUUCUCUGGGAAUCCGACAUAGGAAACUAUGAGAAGGCACACACAGUUAGUUAAAGCAGGUCUUUGUAUUUGCUCUUAUUAGAAAGUUUCAACCUUUUGUAGAUGAACUCAAGUGAUUAUUUUGGAAGACAGAGCGUUCUUAGGUUGGACUGAGUUAACUGGAUAUUCACCUUGCUUCAGUUAGUGAUGUGGAACACCCAGGACAGGAAAAAGAGAAAUUACUACAAUUUAAUAUAUAUUGGGAUAAAAGAGCUCACCUUGAUUUAUCACUCUGAACAAAAGGGGUCUUCCCUCCUUGGAAUCCCACACUAUUAAGGGAAUUUCUGUUGAGAGUAUCAAUUCCAGACAGUGUUGCUCCAAUCUGCUCAUCACAGACUGUCUUGGCUGCAGCUCUAUGCUGUUGGUGUGCAUGGGCUGCACUUGGAAGGUAAAACCUUUAGGGUGGCCAGUUCUCAUCAUACAGGGCUCCCUUUGCUAACCCCUUG